UCUACACUAGGGGGGGGGAUCCAUCUAAGAUACGCAACCUCAUCUACGAGAAUAGCAUAGCUGAAGCCGACGUAUCUUAGAUUGACUUACCUCCCAUCCUCACGGCGUGGGAUCGA